rnacentral:rRNA from 1 species
CACCGACCAGCUAGCCCCAAAUUUUUAAAAAAAACAAAUCAUUAUUAAUAACCCCUAAAACACCCAAACACAAUAAACUAAACCAUUUUUUACCCUAGUACGGGAGACAGAAAAGGACAAAAGGGAGCUAUAGAUAGAGUACCGCAAGGGAACGCUGAAAAAGAGAUGAAAAAGCCCAGUUAAGACCACCCAAAGCAGAGAUUUUUCCUCGUACCUUUUGCAUCAUGAUUUAGCCAGAAAAUUCAAGCAAAGAGCCCUUUAGUUUGGAACCCCGAAACUGAGUGAGCUACUCCAAGACAGCCUAUUAAUUAGGGCACACCCGUCUCUGUGGCAAAAGAGUGGGAAGAGCUUUGAGUAGAGGUGACAGACCUACCGAACUCAGUUAUAGCUGGUUGCCUGUGAAUUGAAUAUAAGUUCAGCCUCCCAGCUUCUUAAUUCCACAACACCUCAAUACCGAAGGAUUCCAAGAAACCGAGAGAGUUAGUCAAAGGGGGUACAGCCCCUUUGAAACGGCACAACUUUUAUAGGAGGGUAAAGAUCACAUUAUUUAAGGAAACAUGCCCUGGUGGGCUUGGAAGCAGCCACCCAAAAAGAAAGCGUUAUAGCUCAAGCAUCAUCUACCUAAGAUCCCGAUAACUUUAUCUUAGCCCCCUUAUCCUAUCAGGCCCUUCUAUUAAAAUAGAAGAGACUAUGCUAAUAUGAGUAAUAAGAAAGACACCACCUUUCUCACAGCAUACGUGUAAAUCGGAACGGACCUCCCACCGAAAAUCAACGGCCCCAACCACAGAGGGAAAUGAAGCAAAACAAAAACACUAGAAAAGCCUUCAAAUAUAACCGUUAAUCCCACACAGGCAUGCACUUAAAUGAAAGACUAAAAGAUAAGAGAAGGAACUCGGCAAAACCUAAUAAAGCCUCGCCUGUUUACCAAAAACAUCGCCUCUUGCCCCCUAAGAAUAAGAGGUCCUGCCUGCCCAGUGACGCAAGUUUAACGGCCGCGGUAUUUUGACCGUGCUAAGGUAGCGCAAUCACUUGUCUUUUAAAUGAAGACCCGUAUGAAUGGCAAAACGAGGGCUUAACUGUCUCCUCUAUCCAGUCAAUGAAAUUGAUCUCCCCGUGCAGAAGCGGGGAUAUAACCAUAAGACGAGAAGACCCUAUGGAGCUUCAGACAACAAUACAGCCCACCCCCCUAGAUUCCAAAUAAACGAACACACUUAGUGGCCCCUGUAUUAAUGUCUUCGGUUGGGGCGACCGCGGGGAAAUACAAAACCCCCAUGUGGAAUAAGAGCACUAAACCCCUCAGUCCAUGCUCUUAAAAGCUAGAGGGACACCUCUGACUAACAGAACUUCUGACCUUAAAUGAUCCGGCUUGCCGAUCAACGAACCAAGUUACCCUAGGGAUAACAGCGCAAUCCUCUUUUAGAGCCCAUAUCGACAAGAGGGUUUACGACCUCGAUGUUGGAUCAGGACAUCCUAAUGGCGCAGCAGCUAUUAAGGGUUCGUUUGUUCAACGAUUAAAGUCCUACGUGAUCUGAGUUCAGACCGGAGAAAUCCAGGUCAGUUUCUAUCUAUGCUACAAUCUUUUCUAGUACGAAAGGACCGAAAAGAGGAGGCCAAUGCUUACGGUAAGCCUCACCCCCACCUAGUGAAGAAAUCUAAACUAGGCAAAGGGGAGUACCCCCGCGUUAGAGAAAAUAACAU